CGGCAAUGACCUCCGCCAGCUCCCUCAGCACACGUGGAUAACAUGGAGUAGGAGGACGUAUCUCUUAUUUUUCCUGGAAGGUGCUUCUCAGAAGCAAUGAAAGCAGCACUCAGCCCCCAGCUCACCCCAGACUUGUGGCAGCAGAGGCUCCAGUUUGUUAGACUUCGGUGUGUGGGCACGUGGAGGCAGCUGAAGCCAUUUUGAAUUUGUUGUCUUUUAGUGGUAUGUUGGUAUGGGUUACUUGUGAGCCAAGUGGCUGCUUGGAGUGUUUGCUCAUAAAUGUAGCCUCAGUAUCUCAGUUUCACACACAUCAAAGGAUAACUGUGCCAUGCUUUCUCCAAGCCCUGGGCAUUUUUUUCAUGUAAAAUACACUGUAGGAAAAGCUGAGCACACUUCAAAACAUCUGUCUCAGGACUCAGCUGCUGCCAUACAUUGUUUACUGCAGGCAGCAAAGCCUGUGCCUGAAAGAAGGCACCCAGACUGGGCUGUGCUGUGACUGCUCCCUUGGCUGCCUCGGUAUUUCACCUAACUUGAAUCAAGCAUUGAUGUGCUGCAUGAAAUCCUUUGUUAACUGGGCCAAAGCAAGUAUUUCCUAGCCUUUAUAUUAAAUUGCUAAUAAUAUAUUUGUACGAAUCUCCAAUAGUAGCUUGAAAAAGUAUCCUACCAAGUGGCAGAAACUAAACUGUCAUGUUAAAUAUCCACUUUAUGCAUGUCUGCUCUUAUACCUGACUAUUCAAAUAUUUGUGUAACCCGGCUUAAUUACAGGAAAUCAGUUUUAAUCCCCCAAUUAACAUUGCAAAUAACAUCAUUAAUAAUCCCAGUCAAAUCUUCCUCUCUCUUUUUUUUUUUUUUUAAUAAGAUCGUUCUGUCCAUGCAUGCUGUCAGCACCACACCACUGAGUGUGCGGUGUGAGCCAACCUGUUACAGCCAUUAGUUCCUGUUUGCAGUGCCAGUACCUGCUUGUGACACCGCCAGUGCAAGGAGCAGUGCCUUCAGGAGCUUCUGCAGGAAUUGUGGAGGAGAAGGCUCUGAGCUGCUUGGUAGGAAGGCUCCUGUUAGCCACAGAGAAGAACUGAGAGGCUUCUCUCUUUGUUUUCACCACAAGGACAAGUGCUGUUUCAGUGAACAGCUUGCUGGACAGCAGAACAAAUGCUCAAGCUGCCAUCUGGACACGGCAUAUGCUCAGCAGGGUUUUCAGGACAGCCAGAGGCCAUCAAAGCUGGUGGGUGUCAGUGCUCAGCAAGGACCUCAAGGAAGAAAUUCUGGCUAGAAUUUGAUUUUGGAGAGAAUCUUACUGAUUGCCAGUGAGCAUUACAGCCUCCGAGGGGAAAAUUCUGCCUGUUGGUGGGGAGGAGGUGCACCGCUCUGAGCUGACAUCUAAUCUGUGGGAGCAGCUUGUGCAGAGCGUGCAGACACAGCCUGGAGCUGUUGGCUGGAGCAGCUCGGUGGGGAGGGACUGGGGGCAAUGGUGGCAGCCAGAGCCAGCAGGGUGCCCAGUAAUGUGCCCAGCUCUGAGGGCAGACCGCGUUCUGGGUGCAUUGAACGCAGCAUGGCCAGCUGGUCAGGAGCGGGAAUUCUCCCGUUAUGUGUAACGCUGGUAUGGCCUCACCUCGAGUCUUGUGUGCAGCUCUGUGUGGGCUGCGCAGUGUGAAAGGGACGUGAAGGUCCUUGGAGGCGUCCCGAGGAGGACACCGAGCGGGCAGCAGGGCUGGGAGAUGUGUGCUGUGAGGAGAGCCUGAGGGCACCGGAGUUGCCUGGUCUGAAGAGCAGGAGGCUGAGAGGCGGCCUCACCGCGCCCUGCAGCCCCUGAGGAGGAGGAGCUGCUGGGAUCUGCUCCUGGGAAGUGGUGGUAGGAUGGGAACUGUGCAGAGAUGUGCCAGGGGAGGCUCAGAGUGGGCUUCAGGAAAUGUCCCCAUACUGUGAGGGUAGUCAGAGAUGGGAAGAUGGUUCCUAGUGAUGCCCUGAGCCUGUUGGUUUUCAAGAGGCAUUUGGACAACGCACUCCAUCAUUCACUUUUACUGGUCAGGCUAUUGGAUUCCAUGACCCUUGUAGAUCCCUUCCAACUGAACUGUUCCGUUGUCAAGUGGUGUCUGCCGCUGGAGGUUGGUUGUUUUCUGUCUUGGCAGUAUGGAUAUCACAGGCCUUCCAGAUUCCUGUGAUAGUUGUAUCCUUUUUCCUAAAGACAGAAGCCUCUCAUCCCUGCUUCCUCUGUGGAAUUCAGACUCUUCUCCACCUCUCAGAGCCCCAGAUCGCCCAUGGGUACCAGGCACGCUCACAAGGCUGGCAAGUGGGAUUCGGGUUCUUCUAGGAAAUAAACAUCAGGAAGACCUGCAUCACUUAGUGUGUGCUUCUCAUUUGUUAAAGAGGAAUUUUCACACAGAAAACUGUUUAAAUCAGGUUACAGAAGCACUAAAUACUACAAAAUACAAGGUUCUGUUUUACUUAGCCCCUAUUUAGGCGUGAGUCUUCAGCACUUCUUUGUACUUUUACUGUAAAGGCUCUGCUCUCUGUAGUGGGGUAGGUCAGGCAGACUUCUAUACUAGUUAGACUUCAUUUUUUUUUUUUUUUAAUCUUCCCACAGCAGCUCGGAGCUGUAAGAAUGUAUUCAGCUUAUAAAAUGAUGGCAGCAAAUUCCCUUCUUAGCAAAAGAUUUCUUUUAAUAAGAAGGGAAUCUUUUAAUGUUGUCAUUAUUCACGAGGGAGGACUGAUGUGCAUGGAAAGGUAGAUGGCAGUGUUUUAUGUAAAUGUUGCUGUAAGCAUCACUGAUGAGUAUUAAAAAUGUAUUGGAUGUAUGUUAGGGUAACAGUUUGCCUUGUAUUAAGCAGGCUUUGUAAAUAGCUUUGCCUUUUAUUUAAACAGGUCAUCGUACCAUUGCCUAUUGCCUACAACUUUUGCCUGCAACUUUUAUCUUAUCGGAUGUCUUUGAUUAAAAUAGUGUGAUUUGUUGAAUUUUCUUUAUUUGCACUUUUCUGGGAUGUCUGUACAGUCUGCUUGUAGUCCACCUAUCUGAACUGUACAGAUACAGUGCAUGCUUACUAAAAAAGAAAAUAUAGCUGCUUUUAACCCCUUCACACAUUUAUCCUCAACUUAUUCUGAAAUUUAAUCCUGUUUCCUCUAUGUUCAUAGCACUACUUCUUUAAUAUUAGUUUUCUAAGGAAACACUGAGGACAAGGAAGAAAAUCUACAGAGUAUCAAUAUAAUGAGCAACUCAACAGCACAUGUAGUCAUAACACAGUAUAACUAUAAUGUUGCUUUUUGGCUGUUAAAUACAUUUUUAAUUUUCUUUCUCUGAUUUCUCAGGUAAAGAACAUCUCCACAUCUAAAGAGAUUUGUUCUAAUAAAUGGCAUUUUGAAUCCAUCAUUAUUUUUCAGGCUUCUGGCACUGUUGUUGAAAACAAGCAUCAGAACUUUUCAGAGUGAAAACCAGAAGUGCUUUGAAGCUACUCAGUUAUCUUCUGUUGCAGAAGACCUGUUCUCUGAAAGACUUUUGUAUAGAUGUUGGAAGUUCUGGGGCAUAAGAUUGUAUUAAGAUUUCCACCUAUUCUGUCAGGCUUUUUUAUAGUAAUUCACUCCACUGAAGAAAAAAAAAAAAGCCAGAACAGUUCAGUAGUCUCAUGCCUACUUAACAUUGGUUUCAACCCAUAACUGCUCAAAGACCAGUUCCCAUAAGCCAGAUUUCUCUGAAAUCGAAAUUUAAUGUUGAACUGAAUUUGAGCAAGUAUAUAGAUGCAUAGUUUCAUAACAGCCAUCCAUGGUAAUAAAUAAAUAAAUAAAAAUAAAAAUCAAGUAGCUUAAAUAAGCAACAGCUGGAGGUUAUAUCCCUGUUGUGUCCAACAACAAAAACAUAGAAGUCUUUAAGUAAAGGACCAGAAAAUUGUAACUUAAAAAAAACUAAUUCUACCAGAGAAACUUGUUAGUUGUUGUAGCUGCUCAUGGAGCAGAUGUUCCACUUACUUUAUGAAUUAAGAAAAUAAAGUGAAGAGAGAGAGCCCACCAGCACACAUGGAGGACUUCUGUCUUCAGAUUCUUCUUCACUACUGGACAGCAUCUCUAAAAUCACGUGUGCUGAGAUUCAUAGGAAGGAGCCAGUAGGACUCAGAAUGGUGUCAUUCCCAUAAAAAGGAGAAAAAAAAAUAUACAAAGGCAGAACAUGAGAAUCAAGAUGGAAUGUGGGAAACAGCUUUUCAUUGUCCAAUGCAAACAAAUGAAGGAGCAAUAUCAUCACUUCUACAGGUCAUCAUUUGCAAGAAGAUUGAAAGCAUUUCUUGAGCAGAGCAUAUUGUGGGAGUGAAUGGAAGAGCACAAAACAAAUGGCAUAUUCUGUUUGACAGAUCAGACCUGCCAGGUCUGAAGAUGCAAGUACCAAGGCAUAGCUUAGAGUAGCCCUAAAGCUGCUUUAAGUUGUGCUUGGAAAACAGUUGUUGGACUCGAAGGGGUCAUUUUAGUAUAUUUUAAAAUCAUGUUUAUAGUUCACACCAUUUUUUCUGUAAUCAUUCUAGGUAUUGUCACAAACAAUGAUCUGACUUCUUCAGUAUCAUUUUUACUUUUAAUAAAAUUUCAAAAAUGUAACCUA